UACGAAGGGGGCUAGCGUUACUCGGAAUUACUGGGCGUAAAGGGCGCGUAGGCGGCAUGAUAAGUCAGGCGUGAAAUUCCCGGGCUCAACCUGGGGACUGCGCUUGAGACUGUUGAGCUAGAGGAUGGAAGAGGGUCGUGGAAUUCCCAGUGUAGAGGUGAAAGGCGUAGAUAUGGGGAAGAACACCGGUGGCGAAGGCAGCGACCUGGGCCAUUACUGACGCUGAGGCGCGACAGCGUGGGGAGCAAACAGG
rnacentral:rRNA from 1 species